GUGCUCGCUUUGGCAGCACAUAUACUAAAAUUGGAACCAUACAGAGAAGAUUAGUCUGGCCCCUGUGCAAGGAUGAUAUGCAGAUUCGUAAAGCAUUCCAUUUUUUU
ensembl:snRNA U6 U6 spliceosomal RNA